rnacentral:rRNA from 1 species
UACGAAGGGGGGCUAGCGUUGCUCGGAAUGACUGGGCGUAAAGGGCGCGUAGGCGGAUGGCACAGUCAGAUGUGAAAUUCCUGGGCUUAACCUGGGGGCUGCGUUUGAUACAUGCAGGCUUGAGUUCGGAAGAGGGUCGUGGAAUUCCCAGUGUAGAGGUGAAAUUCGUAGAUAUUGGGAAGAACACCGGUGGCGAAGGCGGCGACCUGGUCCGAUACUGACGCUGAGGCGCGAAAGCGUGGGGAGCAAACAGG